AGUAAAAAUCUAUAUUAUAAUAGGAGAGUUUUCGAUAGCUGGUAAGCCUGUCCACGUAGACAUAUCCUUAAAGUUUGUGGGUCCCAUUUAUUGUCCGGUUUUAUUUGGUCGUAUGGUUUGUAGUUUGGUCCGGUUUAGUUUGUAGGUAAUAUGAUUGUAGUUUGGUCUGAUUUGUGUCUUCAGCGUUUUGUUUCAUAAAUGCUUGCCUUUUGUGCUUCAUACAUCCGAUUAGGGCUUCAUCGUUGUCUUCCUUCCUUACAGAACUCAAUCCACCGUAUCCACGUAUAUGAUAGCUUCUCCCUAAAACAUUAUAUAUCUCACACGGUAGCUACGUUCAUGUAAGCCAAUCUUCCCUUGAAAGUUUGUAAUGUUUCUUCGAGUUUCAUCUGCGGUGACAAUAAAAAAUUUUGGGUUCAUCUUUUGGACAAUCGAUUUCAUCUUCUAAGAAACGUAUAUCAUAGAUUGGUAAUUUUUAUUCCAUAAGCUGUCAGAUUGAUGAUGUAUACAUUCAACAUCCGUAUGUUUGGGUUUGAAUAAUUGUCCGUCAAAAAAGUUGGUGAUUUUAAUUGUUGCUUUCAAUCUCACAUCAAAGAUUCUAAAUUUUGAUGUCACUAUGGUUUCCGCCGCAAAAGCCCCCUGCGUGCUGAACCGCUUCUCCCUCUCCUGUCACCACGAAGAUAAGUGAAUGACGACAAGAACGAAAGGAUAAAGUGGGAAUAUAGGACAUGAGAAGCACUGGUAUCGUUAACAGCUUUAGUUAGUGCGAAGAGAAAAGCUAAACAACUAAUCAUUUGUUAGAUUUGGGAUAGUUUAAUGUUUUACCAUCAUGUCUCUUGGUAAUGUGAAGUUAUGAAUCAGCUGUUUCAAGAAAAGUGACGUUCCAGAGUUACAUUUGUACCGGUGUUUGGCCAGCGUGUAAUACUAAUAUGCAUCCCAAUGGAUAGCUUAACAGUAACUUUAUGAUCACAUGGUUUGACCCUCUUGCACUAUAUCUCUCUUUCGCCCCAUUCACUAGCACAAAUCUCUCUGAUCUCAUAUAAUUUUGUUGUUAUUUGUAGAACCAUUUUAACGAUCAAAGCUCAUUGCUGUGUUCACGAAAUUUAAGCAGGUCUCUUGAUGGAAGCUUGACCGAUAGGUGAGUGUCCAUGCAGAUUUGACUCGAUGUUGUCUUUGAUAAUGAAAGAAUGAAGAACAAUAUCUUAUGAAGAUCACUAGGACCGCCAUAAGAAACCAGGACAAGCCGAAGUAAUCCUCUGCAGUCCAUGGCAAACCAAGCAUCUACAUCAAUCGGUGUCAGUUUACAGCACAAAGAUGCUUAGUGUUAUACGUUUCUCAGCUCACUCCAGGACUUAAUUGGAGCGGGCGAUGGAGAGAAUUAGGAGGAGAUUUUGUUUCUUGGUUUUGGUUUCUGGUCAGAGAAGCGAAGAUCAUUCUUAUUCAGGUCAUUUCUUGCUUUUAAAUGUUUCUCAGAUUUUGUUUCUGUAUCUGGUAUAGUGUUUCGAUUUAGAUUGUCAGCACUUGCCUUAAUUAAGUAUUGACAUGAUGCUCUAUCCACAGUCUGGAGUCAAGUAGAGUCAUGUUCUAUAGCGACUUAUGUUGUCCUCAUCUGAUUAUUGGAGUAUUACAAAAUGAUUACCAUACAAAAUGAAAGUAUCUCCAAUCAUUUGUCUUUUGCAUCCAUGAAUACACAAACUUUUUGAUGGAUAUUACUUCUGUCAAGUACAAAGAGAAGACUACUUUCAUCGAGCCAAGCCUUACAAGGACCAUCCUACCAUUGCAUGGUGAUCUUUUUCAUCUUGAUCUCUCUUUGGUACUUCAAUAGUUGUUUUUGUACGUUCGUCAACAUGAUGAGAUGUCAUUUCGACAUGUAGCUGUUAUAUAGUUGUGCUUCAAUGGUUUGAUAUGGGUUUCUAACACAUGAUGCAGAAGCUGAAAAUGGAUUUUAGUGUAGUAAUACCGGUUAUCUUCCUUGAGGAGGCAAAUAAUGCACAUUACAACUCAAUUGACCUCAGGGCUUAUAGGAAGUCACAUAUUCAUGAUGGAGCAGCAGGUGAGUCAAGUUUGGAGUUGGAAAGAGGUUGACCUUCUUUUGCUGAUACCUAUUGUUUACUUCAAGUUAUCAAGAGAAAUUUCAUUUCAAUCCUGGUGACACUGGCUUUAAUGUAGUCUUGAGCGGCAGGAUCCCCAAACUAAAGUUUGCAAAAAUUGAAGAGUGUCUUAUUCAGCUAUACGUUGGGAUCAAUGGUUACCGAGGCAACUCGAGGUAUGAUUCUUCAAGGUGUUGAACUGUUUUAUACCACUGCCACUGGCUCUGGACCUCAAGACCAUGGAUUAGAUUCGGGUGAUCACUAGAGGAGAGUCAUGCAAGGCCACGCUGGAGCUAAUAUUAUGAGCUAUUAGGCCAAGGUAAAACCUACACUUUUAUUUAUGCAAGAAUUAAGGUUGGUAGAAGGGAUUGUCAGACAGAAUUUCCUAAGUUGUUGGUUAGGUGAAUUUGGUUGCUAGACUAGGAUAUGGUAUAGUGUGCUUCUGAGAUUAGAAUUUUCUAAGAUGAUGAUUCUGAUUUUUAAAUUUGUGAGUCCCUGCUAUUUUCAAAUCUCUUUCAGAGAGACUGCCUGUAUAUUUUGUUUGAGGACAAGCAAAAGGGUAAAUCUGGGGGAGUUGAUAGGCCAUGGAUUUUUAUCCACUUUUAGCCAUGGUUUAUAAGUGUUUUAAAAACUAAUUAUUAUGUUUUAGAGUCUAUUUAGUAUAUUUAUAGGAUCAUGAGUGAUUUGGAAGAAAGUGAUGAUUUUGGAGUAUUUUGGAGAUAAUUGGAGAGAGCAUCCGAGGUGACCAUCAAGCAAGACCAAUGGUCGACAUUCAGAGACAAUAAUCGAUCGAUGCACAUCUUGUGACAUUGAUCGACAGCGAAGCGCGCAGAAGCCCGUUUGGUUCCAGCCGACUUAUAGCCCAAGACUUCACCAAUUUACAUGAUUAUCCCUGACGAGUUUUAACCUAAUAUUUAUAGCUUGCCAAAGUGUUAGAGGCAAAGUGUGCUUUCUUGUUUUCUUAUUUUCACAGCAAAAGGUUUUCUAGGAUUUUAGCAGAGUUGGAGAAAAGAUCCAAAGAGAUUUGUGAUAGAAACUCCAUUAUUAUCUAUCUAUCUAUGCAGUUUUUAUACUUUAUUGUUGUUAUGAAUUGCUUACCUAUGUCUGAGUAGUUAUAUUGUUAGGUUUAGGGUUUAAAUAGGUUAUGAGGGAUUAGCCCCAACUAUAGAUUGCUAAGUUAGGAUAUUCAUCCUUAGAACUGUCAUUAAUGCAUGUUUUUAGUUUAGCUAGCUAGAACCUUGACCUAGGAGUUUAGGCACAAGUUAACACUUGAAUCUCACCAUGAAUCCGUCCUAAUUGAGCUAGGAUUGUUAGAGUAAGGCGAAGGCUGAUCUAGUAAGCCUAGUGAGCAUUAUUCAACCUGCGCGUAAAGCUUGACUAAGAACAUGUCGAUCGAUAUUCCUAUAAAAUAAUCGAUCGACGGUGCAAAAGGUGUAUCGAUUGAUAUUCCUCUAGAAUCAUCGAUCGACACUUAUAUCUGGUCAAUAGACAAACCUAGAAAGCGAACGCCGAUCGGUUUGUUCAUAAGUGUUUGAGCUCUAUUAUAUCAUGCAUAAAACUGUUAGGCAUCUGUAGGAUUAUAAUCCUGAUUACCUGAAUAGAAAUCCUAAGUCUAACUAUUUCAUUUAAGUGCCAAAAACUCAAUCAAGCCAAUCGAGCAACUGCCUUGCUCACAACAUGUUAUUUACAUUUAAACAUAAAUAACCUAGGUUAAUCAUUCUGAUUAGAUUUAUUUGGUUCCCUAGCUCCUUGUGGAUUCAAUCCUUGAGUAUUACAAUUGAACAUCUUAUUUGAGAGAGUAAUUCACUCCUUAAGGUAAUUGGAGUGAGAUCUUUCCGCGCUUAUAAGUAUUAAAAUCUAAUAAAAGUAAAAAUAUAUAUACUAUACUAAAAGGGAGAUAACUAGAGCGGGGAGAGUGUCCACCUCAGAUUAAAAAAUCAACCAAUCAGGGAAAUCCUUUAUGCCAUGUCAUUAGUUAUUGUCGAAAAUAAAGAUAAAAGGAAGCUUCGAUCAACCGCCUCUGCUUCUCUCACUUCGUCUUCUCGGUUACAUCUUCAUGAAAUCUACGUUAUAGCUACCAAUAUUAUCAAUAAAUUGUGUUCUUCAAGCUCCUCUUUACGAAUUCAUUUCUUAUCCUUUGUUUUUCCUUCUUUAUAAACCCUUCGCCUAGAUUUAAUCCAGUCAAAAACGAAAACCUCCACUAAAGAAGUUGAAGCUAUGGCGAUGAAACCCAAUGGAUAGUAAUCCACUAGAAAGUCUCCCGUCACCACCGGAAAGUCUCCCGUGCAGUAUGCUGUUAAAUUGUUUUGGCCGUGUGGCGAUUCUGAUUUUUAGGAACGAACGAACACACAUGAAUUUCAUAUGUUCAUGUCUUCCCUUCUUCAGGUUCAUUCCUUUAUUCAUAUAAUGGUUUCAUGGCCAAGCGUUAACCAUUCGAAAUAUUUGUCAUUCAGCUAUUUGAUCUGGUAUAUGGAGAAUUUUCAAGAUUUCUAUUCGGUUUGCUCUGGGUGAGAACAAAUCGUAAAAAGAUGCAGCCACAACAGGAAUAAAAAACACUAUGAAAAAAUUAUUACAAAGCAAAACGGUAAGAUUAUUACAGAGCAAAAAGAGUCCUUAAUCUUUGUUCCAAGAAUUUUGUUGUACCUGAUUUUGAAUGGUUUUGAUUGUCUUUAUGUAAGGAUCAAGCAUCUUCGCACAUGGUGUUCAAGAGAUCAUACAGAUGGACCUGAAGACAAGUAAGAUGAUCUUACCUGAUAAACACAUGCGGGCGAUUUCAGUUUGUCUAAAUUGGCAGUUGACAGAGCCUUUCAUGUCUCCGGCAUAUUGUCCAUGGCACAGUUGGAUAUCUGGAGCCCAAGUAUAUAACUCUGGAGUCCUUUUUCGUGGGUCAAACUGUGGAGUCCUUCUUGAGCUUAUGUCAGGCGUAGGCGUAGAAGCCAUAUCGAAUGAACACUUCCGAGUUCAUUAUACAAGGUAUAUUACUAAUCUGAGCUUUUUUAUUUUUUAAUGAACAGGCGUACAAAACAAAGAAAUGUUGCUAAGUGUCGGUCAGGAAAUGGCACUUCUGAGCUGUAGAGUUUGGUUAAAACGUUUUUCAGCAAUAUGCACCAAACUGUGAUCGAGAAUCGUGGAUUAAGGUUCUCGACUUUGUUAGCAGGAUUUUCCAUGGAAGUGUAGUUUUUUUUGUUGCUAACAUCGAUAGAAGUGUAGUUUUGAGAGGUACGAAGCUGUUAUGUAAUUGUGAGGAUUCUUGAGAAGAUUUGCGGUGGGUUAGCAGAAACAACAGCUGGCAAAUUAAUAGUAAUGUUUUCCAAGGUAAAAUACUGAUUGAAAGUGUACGGUUCUUUUGUUUAUUUAUGAGUGAAUAAUACUAUUGUCUGUUUAGUUUAACCCUUUCCAUUACCAUGUUUCUAAAGUGAUCGACUUAGACGCUGCGAAGAGUUUUGAAAAUGGAGAAGGUGUGCGUCUGAUAGCACCUCAGGAUGCCUGCAAGCUGCAACCAUUCAGCCAAGUAUAUUCGCACGGAAAUAUAGAUUGAUGGCGCGGACGGGUAAACACUCGAAUCUAGGAAAUAGUUGGCUCUGGAUGAAUCCAUUGAGAAGUUGCGACACAACGUCAAAGUCUUUCUCGACCGCCAGUGUCACGAUCUUGGGGGAGAAGAAGGCACAGUCUACGUGGUUAUCAGGUUUGAGAGAAUCGGAUGUGAAUAUUACUCUGUCUGUUUAGUCUAACCUUUUUCAUCACCAUGUUUCUGAAGAGAUCGAGUUAGACGCUGCAAAUAGUUGCAUGUGAGGGUGAGUAAAAUGGAAAGUGUGAGGAUAAGACAAUGAUGUUCAGGAGUUUACACCUGGCUCUCGAGACUUCACAAUAGAGAGCUUGAAGACAAAGCCAAAGAAGUACCAGAGCUGAAAACAGAGAGACAUAAGAAAAAACUUAAUAUAGACGAGGUCGAGGGUAUCGCGAGGCUGAAUCUAGCAGAGGCAGCCAUGUUAUAGCUUAAAGCUAACAAAGCAUAACGGGAGUCUGAGAGGUUGUAAAGAUUGUACUACGAAAACGGAAAAGUUUGAGGAGGAAUACGCAAGUAACUUCUGAACAGAGGUUGGCCAAGGCUGAGGCAGAGAAGCAAUAUAUGUUUGAGAAGAUUAACCUGACGGAAAAUUCAAGCUCGCAUCACAAAGUAGUGGUGGUGGAGGAGACCCGUCACAUGUGUGAUGUACUCAAAGAUCUGUGAUCUACUUCAUGGUAACAAUCUCACGCCUAAGGUAGAUCCUCAAUCAAAAGAGCACCAUCCUUUCAUAUCCAAACAUUGACGCUUCUUCCCUUCUAAGUUUGUUAAUUUUGUGUAAACAAGAUCUUUUAAUAAACAAGAGUGUAGAUAUGUGGAAUCUUUCUCAGGCCAAGAAGCUUUGCUUAAUUUGGAGAGUCAUGGUUUAUUUUAUAUGAUAUAU